rnacentral:tRNA from 10 species
AAGUGGCUGAGCGGUUUAAAGCGGCAGACUGCAAACCCGUUGAAGUGUUUCAUCGUGAGUUUGAAUCCUUGCUUUCCC